AUAUUGCGCAAUGGAGGAAACUCUGACGCAGUGACGCCGCGUAUAGGAAGAAGGUUUUCGGAUUGUAAACUAUUGUCGUGAGGGAAGAAAUUGACAGUACCUCAGGAGGAAGCUCCGGCUAACUAUGUGCCAGCAGCCGCGGUAAUACAUAGGGAGCAAGCGUUAUCCGGAUUUAUUGGGUGUAAAGGGUGCGUAGACGGGCUGUUAAGUCAGCGGUCAAAUGUCGGGGCUCCACCCCGGCCUGCCGUUGAAACUGGCGGCCUCGAGUGGGCGAGAAGUAUGCGGAAUGCGUGGUGUAGCGGUGAAAUGCAUAGAUAUCACGCAGAACUCCGAUUGCGAAGGCAGCAUACCGGCGCCCUACUGACGCUGAGGCACGAAAGCGUGGGUAUCGAACAGG
rnacentral:rRNA from 1 species